AUUGAACGCUGGCGGCAGGCCUAACACAUGCAAGUCGAACGAGUGGCGGACGGGUGAGUAAUGUAUGAGAAACUGCCUGAUGGAGGGGGCUAACUACUGGAAACGGUAGAUAAUACCGCAUACCAUCGGAUGUGCCCAGAUGGGAUUAGCUUGUUGGUGGGGUAACGGCUCACCAAGGCGACGAUACCUAGCUGGUCUGAGAGGAGGACCAGCCAAACUGGAACGGAGACACGGUCCAGACGCCUACGGGAGGCAGCAGUGGGGAAUAUUGCACAAUGGGCGCAAGCCUGAUGCAGCCAUGCCGCGUGGAUGAAGAAGGCCCUAGGGUUGUAAAGUACUUUCAGUCGGGAGGCGUUACCGACAGAAGAAGCACCGGCGAACUCCGUGCCAGCAGCCGCGGUAAUUC
rnacentral:rRNA from 1 species